rnacentral:rRNA from 1 species
UACGUAGGGUGCGAGCGUUGUCCGGAUUUAUUGGGCGUAAAGAGCGUGUAGGCGGUUAGGUAGGUCCGUUGUGAAAACUCGAGGCUCAACCUCGAGACGCCGAUGGAAACCAUCUGACUAGAGUCCGGAAGAGGAGAGUGGAAUUCCUGGUGUAGCGGUGAAAUGCGCAGAUAUCAGGAAGAACACCAAUGGCGAAGGCAGCUCUCUGGGACGGUACUGACGCUGAGACGCGAAAGCGUGGGGAGCGAACAGG